CUCUGCAUGCUGCCCCUCUCCACAGCGAUCCCGACACAGCCUUUGCACUCAGCCUGAAGUCUAUUCAUCCCUAUUUCUGUUUCUUGCACACAGGCUGCAUCCUCCAUUUUCACAAUCCUCAGUCUACAAAUGAAUCCAGCAGAGCUGACUGAUGAGAAAACAGAAGAUGACAAUCUCAACAGAUUUCAGCUGGACCGAAACCUUUAUUUGGGACACAGAUCACCAGGCUAAUGCAGUUUUUGGAAACUGAGGUGCAGCUCUAGCACUCAGAAACAGAAGCAGUGGCUGGCCCAGGCCACAGCUCCAGCUCAGACAAACUAAUCUGCCAGACACUGGCUGGUCACCCUUGCUGCUGUGCCAUGAACAAGGUGGUUCCACAGGCUCCUGCAAUUCCAACACCUUAAACAUCUAAAAUUACUGCUGUGAUGACUGCAGCAAAAGCUGUUGCAGAGGUACCCAGCGGUGCUGCUGGAGCCCAGAGCUUGGUGGAAUUUCCAUAACAAAUGUCUGUAAUGAAGUCUACAGUUCCUGCAUUCUACACUGGGAUGCAAUGAUGGGAUGCAAGCAGCUGUUCUACCUGAGAUGACUUCAAACUCCUCCCAUCCCUACCUUAAAUGGAAACUUUGAAAUCCAAUCACAAAAAAGCUUCUUUGGGUAGUACUGCACGUAAGGUCUGAAGGCAAGAACUUUCUGCAUUAAAAAACAAGCUCUCUUCUCUAUGACACCUCGCUUCCAAUGAAACCAUAAACACUAUGUAAUUUAAGUGACCACAACCAGGAUGUAAAUUCCAUUGCAGAAGCACAAGCAGGUUGACAUACAACCUUGGCUAAAAAAAAAAGGGAGAGGCCUGUAUGAAACCUCCUCUGUGUUAACAGGCAUGAGUAAACACUCAAGUAAUCAGACAGCGAAAUAACUCAGUACUCUUGGAGUGUUGCUUUCUACAGCUGCAGACAAGAUGGCUCUACUUGAUUACCUAACAAUGAGAACCUGCCCCAAGAAGAGCAGUUUAUAGGCAGAGCUGUUGGUCUGCAGAUGAAGAGCGCCACUCCCUCAAAUGCUGUCAAUACUGCCUUGACGUCAAGUAUGAAAAACAACCAGCCCAACAAUCAAAAAAGGUGUGCCCACACACAGUUUCCCACAGAAGUGUUCUCCGAAUUACACUCACAACAAUUAUAUAGCUUAAUACUGCUAAUUGGUUAGAAAAGAAGAUGAUUUUACGUAGUCUGUUAUUUUGCUGUCAUUUAGACAUCCACUCUGGAAAGCAUAAAACUUGAUACCCUUUUCAUCUCAGCUUUCUCACCCAAAUUAUGUUCUUAGCCAAAAGCACAUACUGCAGAAUAAGCACACCAAGAACUAAAGCACCAGAUCCAAGCAGGACUUGGACCCCCACAAUUAUCAUGUGUCAAUGUCUACCCACAUGAUAUUCCCAAACACUGAAGUUCUCAAAGUGGUUUUCACUUAGGUACUCCAAUCCUUCUGUAGAAUUUUCAUAUCAGCAGAAGCAAACAUCAUUAACAACUCCAUAAAAAUUAAGAUACUUGUGAUUUAGACUUCUUAGUCACAUUCAGAGAUAAUCUAGUUUGUAAUAACAGCCUCAAAAAAGCAGAGUAACUAAAAGAUUAAUUCUAGAUGAUACAAUGUACACAGUUCGCAGUCUGAAAGAAGAAAAUAUUUAAGCCAAAAGUUUGAGAAUAGAGAAAGACUCUCUUACAAAAUUAAAAUAAACUUACUGGUUGAAUUGCCUUGCAUCUGGA